GACGUAGGGCGCGAGCGUUGUCCGGAUUUAUUGGGCGUAAAGAGCGUGUAGGCGGCCAGGUAGGUCUGGUGUGAAAACUCGAGGCUUAACCUCGAGAUGUCAUCGGAAACCAUUUGGCUAGAGUCCAGAAGAGGAGAGUGGAAUUCCUGGUGUAGCGGUGAAAUGCGCAGAUAUCAGGAAGAACACCAAUGGCGAAAGCAGCUCUCUGGGACGGUACUGACGCUGAGACGCGAAAGCGUGGGGAGCGAACAGG
rnacentral:rRNA from 1 species